AAUCGCGCAUCAGCCAUGGCGCGGUGAAUACGUUCCCGGGCCUUGUACACACCGCCCGUCAAGCCAUGGGAGCCGGGGGUGCUUGAAGUGCGUCGCCGCAGGGCGCGCCCUAGAGCAAAACCGGUGACUGGGGCUAAGUCGUAACAAGGUAGC
rnacentral:rRNA from 1 species